UGUACACCUACUCACCUUUAGUUUUUACUCUAUUCGUAUUAUUGAGUUUGUUAAUCUUUCCUCUUAUGCAUCCACCAUUAUUAUUAUUUUUUUUCUUUUCAAAACUUGGGAGCUCGAACAACAAACCUAUCGAGUUCUCCACAUGCCUUCUCGCUAGAAAUUCCAGUAUUUUUUUUAUAUACUAGGUUUUUAACGCUAAUCCUAGUACCCAAGUUGUAAAUUUGGCGAUAUCGCACAAGGAGGGCGGGGAAGUCGGCGCGGCCGCCUGCGGGGAGAGCUUGAUCGGAAACUGAGAGGCGCGCGAGGGGGCAGAAGCUUCCUAUGGUGUGGGAGGUAGUGGAUUACAGGGGAUGUGCAUGGGUCUCUUCAUGUUGAUGGUGAAUGUAACUCUACUGAGUUUGGCUAUCUUUAAACACUCCUAGAACAUUAGACAUAAGUUCCUUGCUUUGCAAAGUACUUUACUUUAUGAGGAUGUUAUUUGUAGGGGGGGGGGUGGAAGGUGGGUGUUAAAGGAGUCCAAGCUUCCUUCUCACAAAAUACACAUUCAAGAUUCUUGACAGAGAUAGUAAGAGGAGCUUUUGCAGUUGCUUUAGUGAUCUCCUUCCUUUAUUAUUAUUUUUUUUGAUAGAGAGAGAGAUAGAGAGAGAGGAGAGAGGAGAGAGGAGAGAGAAGGAGAGAGAGAGAGAGCUCUUCUUUGCAUGUAACUAUCAAAACAAGAAGAUUGAUUUAAACUGUUGAAGAAGUGGAAGAAAACAAAAACCAAGAAAUGUUCUAGUAGUUAGCCA